UCUGCAAGCGUGUCUAGUGCUGCAUCAAUGACUUCUGCUGGGUGUCAGUAUUUUAUUGAGGGGCUUACUGAGGAUGCUCGUUCGGAUUACAGAAAUUUAUCAGCUGCAGUGGUGAGAGGCGAGCAUGACACCUGCUUGCUUUAUGCUGAACAAUUGAAACAAAGAUGUGUUGAUCAUUUCAAAGAAGGUAGUAUUGGUAUGGAACAAUUAGCUGCUGUUG
rnacentral:misc_RNA from 1 species